CAUUUCGUACAGUUGCCCUGUUGAAGUCACAGGAUUGAUUCACCCUGAGCGUUCCAAUGAAGAUGAGAUGCCGGACCUGCUUUGCUUGCUAUUUUGUGGGAUGGAGAGAGCCGUUAUUCUAUGACUGGAGCUGCAGAGGGGAGGAGGGAGAAGAGUUUAUUAGAAACCUACCAAGAUCAUGGAUAAUCAGGAAAGCAAUAUUCAUCAUCGGGGCUCCACACCAUCCAUAACGUGCUCUCUUCUCACUGCUGCCAUCAGGAAGAAGGUCUAGAAACCUCAGGCAUCGCAUCACCAGGUUCAGGAAAAGUUAUUACCCCUCAACCAUCAGGCUCUUGAGCCAAAGGAGAUAACUUCACUUGCUCCAUUACUGAAAUGGUCCUACAUGUCCUGUGGACUUACUUUCAAGGACUCAUCAUCUUAUUUAUUUAUUACUAUUAUUUAUUACUUUUCUAUUUGCACAUUUUGUUGUCUUUUUACAUUGGUUAAUCAUCCAAGUUGGUGCAAUCUUUCAUUGAUUCUAUUGUGGAUUUUUUGAGUAUGCUCACAAGCAGAAUCUCAGCGUUGUAUGUGGUGACGUAUAUGAGUACUUUGACGAUAAAUAUACUUUGAACUUUAAAAGUGUGGACAAUUGGUUUGCAUUUUAGACAAUAGACAAUAGGUGCAGAAGUAGAUCAUUCGGCCCUUCGAGCCUGCACCGCCAUUUUGAGAUCAUGGCUGAUCAAUUACUAUCAAUACUCUGUUCCUGCCUUGUCCCCA